UACAGAGGUCUCAAGCGUUGUUCGGAAUUACUGGGCGUAAAGGGUGCGCAGGCCGCGCGGGCAGUCAAAUGUGUAAUCCAGGGGCUCAACCCCUGAACUGCGCUUGAUACUUCCGCGCUCGAGCUUUGGAGAGGAGUCUGGAAUUCUCGGUGUAGCAGUGAAAUGCGUGGAUAUCGAGAAGAACACUUAGGGCGUAGGCAAGACUCUGGACAAAUGCUGACGCUCAUGACACGAAG
rnacentral:rRNA from 1 species